rnacentral:rRNA from 1 species
GACGUAGGGCGCGAGCGUUGUCCGGAUUUAUUGGGCGUAAAGAGCUCGUAGGCGGCUUGUCGCGUCGUCCGUGAAAACCUGCGGCUCAACUGCAGGCUGGCGGUCGAUACGGGCAGGCUAGAGUGUGGUAGGGGAGAUCGGAAUUCCUGGUGUAGCGGUGAAAUGCGCAGAUAUCAGGAGGAACACCGAUGGCGAAGGCAGCUCGCUGGGACGGUACUGACGCUGAGGCGCGAAAGCGUGGGGAGCGAACAGG